UACGGGGGGGGCAAGCGUUGUUCGGAAUUACUGGGCGUAAAGGGUGCGUAGGCGGUCUGUUAAGUUGGAUGUGAAAACUCUGGGCUCAACCCAGAGCCUGCAUCCAAAACUGGCAGGCUAGAGUUCUGGAGGGGGUAGCGGAAUUCCUGGUGUAGCGGUGAAAUGCGUAGAUAUCAGGAGGAACACCGAUGGCGAAGGCAGGUCUCUGGGCCGAUACUGACGCUGAGGAGCGAAAGCGUGGGGAGCGAACAGG
rnacentral:rRNA from 1 species